UACGUAGGGCGCAAGCGUUGUCCGGAAUUAUUGGGCGUAAAGAGCUCGUAGGCGGCUUGUUGCGUCAGCUGUGAAAACCCGCAGCUCAACUGUGGGCUUGCAGCUGAUACGGGCAGGCUUGAGUUCGGUAGGGGAGACUGGAAUUCCUGGUGUAGCGGUGAAAUGCGCAGAUAUCAGGAGGAACACCGAUGGCGAAGGCAGGUCUCUGGGCCACUACUGACGCUGAGAAGCGAAAGCAUGGGGAGCGAACAGG
rnacentral:rRNA from 1 species